rnacentral:lncRNA from 1 species
UUUUAAAAUUUUUGAGGAACCACAUUUUAAAAAGUAAAAAGAAACAGAUAAAAUGAAUGUUAGUAAUCUAUUUUAUCUAAUUCCAAAUAUCCCAAAUAUUAUUAUUUCAAGGUGUAAGCAACAUACAACAUUGAUGGGAUAUUCUACAUUCUUUUUUCAAGCCAAUGCUUUGAUAUCCAGUGUGUAUUUGUCAUUUUAUAGCCCAUCCUGAUUUGGACCAGCCGCAUUUUAGUGCACGUGGGCUUAGUGGCUGCCUGUUAGCCGGAUUAGACCCAACUUCAGCUCCACCUUCAGCAGGCUCAGCAGCCUCCCGAAGGCAGGUUUUGUGGCGGGGACCACAGCAGAUGUGCGAACUUCUGGCCAGGCAGCAGGCCCUGGCCACACUGCUGCCUCUAGUGUGACUCCUGUCUGUCCAUGCCUCACCGUUAAUACCAGCUUCAGUGUCCCUCCAUUGCACAGCAAAGACUAAAAAGAAUAAUGUCAAAUUUGUUGGGAUAGAACCAGUCUCACAGUGGUCCCCAAGGUCUCUUCCAGCCCUCAGAUUAUGUAAUAAUGAUGGCGAUUCUGAAACUGAUAAUGUCUAAUAGAAUGCAGGGAUACCUUCUAACCUGCACCUACUCUGUGCUAGAAUUGCUCACGAAAUAAACCAUGGUCCUCCCUAGUGAUGGGGGACAAAGUGGACACAACCAUAAAUUGUGUGGGCUAAAGGCAGGAAGUAAGGCAGAUCAAUAGCAGAGGUACAGCCGAUCAAUACCAUCAAAGGCAUCUCCCCGCAGAUGGGAGCAACUUUCUGUAGACCUGGUGAGAUGAGCAGAUAGGACAUCUUGAAUAUUACUGUUGCUUUUUAAUAUUAUAUAUGUGAUUAUAAUAGAAAAAUGCUUUUCAUUCUCAAACUACAUGAUGAGAUCCCACAGGCUGGCACAUCGCAGAUACGACCUGGUAGUGUUGCUACGUAACUAUUAAAACUAAUCCCAUAUUAAUUUAGCGAAACUAUCACCCACAUAGUCAAUAUUAUAUUUCCUGCUUCAAGAAGGAAGCCACGUGACUUGAAAUGAGCCAGAUAUAGUUAUUCCAGACCAGGUCUCUGGACACAAAACCUAUAAUUCAUUAUGUCAACAGGAAGGGCACACAGCACUAGCCACUCCACAGUGACCAGACGGUGCAUGGUGGGAUCACCUGAGGCAGCCCCACGGGGUGUCUCUUCCACAGAGAGACAACCCCAGUCAGAGUCUGCAAAUGACAUCUCUGGACGCUACGUCCGUGAGAAACGUAUGCAGUGGGCACUCAGUCUCUGUGCCUCCAAAUAGCUGUGGCUGUGCACUAGCAUGGUGUGAAAAGAAAGGACCUGGGGAGGGGUUGGUGUAAGAGAGAGAGGAACUCAUCCCUGUGGGCAGUUAUUCUACCAGAGCUUUGAGGCAUUGUGGGCCACAGCAGGCAGGCUCCCACUGCCGGGCAGUAACUCGGAGCACUCUUAGCUCAUCCAUCUUGCCCUUAAACAGCUGGCAGUGGUUGAGGCUAGAGUUCGAUUGCUGGCAUGUUUUGUGUUAUCUGCUUUGAGUUCCUUAGCUCCCAAUGUCACCCACUGCAGCUGUGAAGCUCGGCCUCGUCAGAACAAAUGGCAGAAGACUGCUGCCAGCCAUGCGGGGACUCGGUCCUCCAACAGAUCAGUCCCUCCAACUCAUCUGGGCAGAAUGGCAGGUCCAGGGUUGUCAGGUCUUUAAAAAUGCCCACAUCCUAUCAUGGUCACAGUAGUGAAGCCAGAAUGAGACCACCGCUCGCUUUCUCAUUCACAAAAUCCAUUUCCUGUCUCAGGUCCAGAACUUCCAGCGUUUGGUUCUGUUCAUUUCCCCCUGGAUCAACACAAGAGCUUUGAAGUGAGGCAGCCUGGUGUGGCCCUGGUUAGGUGUGCGAUCCUGAGCAGGCUCCCCUGCCAUCUCACAGCAGUGUGUUUAUGAGGAUUAAGCAAGUCCAUAAGCACUCCAGCACUCCACAUUGGUGCCUAGAAGCUGCCAGCACAUGUAACCUAUGCCUAUUCCGUUCUUAUUACCAUUACUACUACCAUCACCAUAAUUACUGAAACAGGAAAGGUUCUCUUGUCCCCCUCGCAGGGUGUGUGAUGGGAUGUGGCUCACUUCCUCAGUGCCCCACUGCUCAAACAUCUAGGGGAGCAUACAGACGGGCAGGCUGUGGGGCUCCCACCCCACUGCAGUGUCUAGGAGUUAAUGUUUACAGCUCUUGAAGCCCCAGUGGGUGUGUGUUACAGGAUGCUCUUUUAGUUUUGCUGUCUAUAGGCGGCUUGCGUUAACCAGCUCAAUUAGACCCUCUAACUUGUGGCAGGGACAGAGGGCUUUCUUUAUCCCUGCCUUGGUGUACAGGAUGAAUCGGAUCACACCUGGGCUUGGAGAAUGAGUGCAAGGUUUUAUUGAGUGGAUGUAGCUUUCAGCAGAUGGGCGAAGCCAGAGGGGAUGGAGUGGGAAGAUUUUCCCCUGGAGUCAGGCUACUCGGUGGCCCGAGUUCUCCUCCAACUGCCCCAGUCAAACUUCAUGUCGCUCUGCCGGUCAGUGGCCUGCCAGCAUGCCGGUUCCAUCCAGCGGCCCGUGUGUUCCUCUGCUGAUGUGCUCCUCUCCACAUCCAGCCACCCGUGUGUCUGCUUGCUAGGGUCUCUCGGGUUUUUAUGGGCACAGGAUGGGGGCAUGGCAGGCCAGGGUGAUCUUGCGAAAUGCAACAUUUGGUCAGGAAAUGCCUGUCCUCACCUAGGUCCAAGGGGGUAGAGCCCUAGCCAGGGACCAUGCCUUCCUCUAACCAACACUUUCCCAUUAUGUGUUAUUUAAAGGGACCACGCCCUUCCCUUCCCAGCACUUCCCUUCCAUAUCAUUACUAGGAGAGGGGGUGCAAAAAGAAGCACAAGUCAGAAUAACCCUGGAGAAGGUCCUAUCCAUUUCAGAGAAGACAUGUGAGACCACAGUGAGCAUUCAGUGUGGCGCUACCCAGAAAUGGGGCCAGCGCAGAAGCACAGCGACAUCACUCUGCCUUCUCCUGGAGCAGAGGAGCAAGUUGAGAAGGACUGGGAGCAGGCCUGAAAUCCCAGCUGGGCAUGAAGUGUGCUUGUGAGGGCCAGAGCAGGCUUGGCCUCAGCGAGGUGAGAGCUGAGGAAGCCCUCUUGCCUUCCUGCACCCAGAUUCUGGAGUGGCCCACGUUCCAGCCACAGCUUCUGUCUCCAGCCCGCCCUUGGAUUCUCCCUCCUCCACCUCUCUUCUUUCCCUGAAAUCUCUCCUCCACAAACUACUUCAGAACAAGACACACUCUUCCAACUUCUCACCUGCUGGCCCUGACUGAAGGGCUCAAGCAUUAUGACCAUUUUAAAGAGAUGUUUUUUCAAAUACUAACAACAAGAAAAUGUAUGAAUAUUUUCAACAGAAAAUUUACGAAUAUUUUCAACAGAAAAUUCAAGGAACAGGCAUCAUAAAAGACACUGUGUAGCCAAGAACGCUUUGGACGGCCAGGGAGGAGCUGGGUUGUUGCUCAGGCUUUGGGACCGACUGGUCAGGUGAAUGCAGGUGUCUCAGAUCACAUGGGAAGCAGGAGAGGCAGGAGAAUGGUGGUCCAAGCUGCGUGCUCCCAAAUAGCAAACAGUUCUCUUGAUCAGAAAUCCCUAAGGCCUCACAGCACAUAUUGGGCUCUCUCUUGACAUGUCUUGAUGUCCAGGCUCCAGACACAGCACAGAGCAUUUCCUCCCAGCUGCCAGCCCCUCCUGUGUGCUGGUGAGCACAGAAGUGUGCUUGAGGCUCAGCUGAGCACUCAAACCAGCUGUCAGGCAGAUGAGGGGAGCAUUAAGUCUCUGAUAUGCCCUGGCAUUCUCUCCAAGAGUGGCGUGAGAAGGACUGGUCUGCUGCAAGGGACUGGCACUGCACAGGGAGAGCCCAAUUCACAUCAAACAGGAGAACACUGCAACCCAACGGUGUAUUUUCCCUUGCGCACUUUUUCCUUUCAAAAGCAUUCAUUUCAGGAAUGAUGCUUAGCUAUCAGAGCACUGAACACAAAAUCCAAGAUAAUGUGGGCCCUCCUAGUGCUAGAAACACAGCCCUCUGAAUGCUCAGGCUUAUUAAACUGCCUUAAUAACAUGCCUUUUUUUUCCCCUCAUUAACUAUUUCAAAGUUAGUGACUUUGUGGGAUCCUGGGGGAAGCUGUAAAAGGCAGAUCAAACGAAACAGUCUCUGCCCAUCCCAGUCCCUCCACCCUCUGAGCUCCCUGCCCGUCCAUUACCGUAGAAUGCUGUUUACAGCCCUUUUCAUCUCUCACUACCUGCUUCUGAAGAGGAAUGGGGUCGGCAAGAAAAGGGCAGGAGGAAGGAAGUCUGAAGCCAUCGAAGGCUGGGCAUAAAGACAGCAAAUGAGGCAGAAGCGAGCAAAGGGAAGAUCCCUCCUGCCUGGGGCUGAAUUCCCCAUUCUCUCCAGCUUGCUGCAGGUCCUUCACACAAGUCUCUGCUCUGGAAGGCUCGAGUUGCACUUCAUGGACUGGGUGUCUGGACCCCUACUGGACAGCUCCCAGUAGGCACAGAUGCCGUCUCUCACUUGUCAGGGCUCCUGUAGCCUAGCUCAGGCCUGUGGAGGUGCUCCCGGAAGGGUUGAAUGGGCAGAGAACACGCCAGUCAGGGGCCCUUGGGAAAGACACCACGGGAAACCCACCUUCAUUUUUCUUUUUGAAAAAUGAAAAUGCUGCAUAAGACGACUUCUAAGGUCCCACCAAGUCUGCUGAGGUUUUACUAUAGUGCAUGCUCGUUACAGAAAACAUGGAGGACACUGAGAAGAGGGGCCGACUGCCCACCUCCCUAUCAACCAGUGCUGUUAGUGUGAGUUGGGACAUUUACUUCCAGAAUCUCAAAACUGCACUGAGCUUUGAAACUUCAUCCAAAAGGAAAUCAGUUUGUCUAAGAGAUAUCGACACUCCCAUGUUUAUUGCAGCACUAUUCAUGGCAGUCAAGAUUUGGAAGCAAUCCAAUUGUCCAUCAACAGAUGGAUGAAUGAAUAAGGAAAAUGUGCUGCAUACACACCAUGGGGCACUAUCCAGCUGUGAAAAAGAAAGAGAUCCUGCCUUGUGCAACAACAUGGAUGGAAUUGGAGGACAUGAUAUUACGUGAAAUAAGACAGCUGCAGAAUCACAGGAGUGAAAAAGAAAAAGGAAGUUGUUGGCCAGGCGCGGUAGCUCACGCCUGUAAUACCAGCACUUUGGGAGGCCAAGGCAGGCGGAUCACGAGGUCAGGAGAUAGAGACCAUCCUGGCUAACACGGUGAAACCUCAUCUCUCCUAAAUAUACAAAAAAAUUAGGCAUGGUGGCGGGCACCUGUAGUCCCAGCUACUCGGGAGGCUGAGGCAGGAGAAUGGCGUGAACCCGGGAGGCGGAGUUUGCAGGGAGCCGAGAUAGCGCCACUGCACUCCAGCCUGGGUGACAGAGUGAGAUUCUGUCUCAAAAAAAAAAAAAAAAAAAAAAAAAGAAAGAGGAAGUGUGUGCUUUACCUUGUCAAAACUGAACAAAAAUGUAUAUGUCUAUUAUGUAUCAAGAAAAAAUAAAAUUUUUUGUAAAACUGAACUUACUAUGUCCUUGAAGGAAAAGUCUUCUUGAUUUAUCCAAGGAGAAACGGAAACCCGUUGCUACCAGAUUUCCUCCCAGUCAGGCCUGCACCCUCCCUCUUUUGGGUCCCAUGGAGCUCUCUGGUCCACCAGCCAGGGAACACUUGCCACUUUGACUUCAGCUAUGGGGAUGCAUGCCUUCUCCCAGGAAGUGCAAGCUGCCUUCUGAUGAUAUCGGUCUUGGUGGCCUCACAGCCCUUAGCACAAUGGGUGGUUCAUAGGAGAUGAUUAGCAAUUUUGUUGAACUGAUGAAUUAAUUAUAAAAUUUGGUAAGUAGAUGUGAUAAAUUUUGUAUUGCUUAAGUCUACUUUGGGCAUUUUGGAGGAAUCUCCUUACCCUGUCUUUAAAAUCUUUCUCCUUUCUGAAAAGUAAGAUUUGGAUCAAAUUAAUAAUCAAAUUUUGUUUGAAAUCCACACGUUAGGCAUGUUUUCUAACUCACAAUUCCUACUGCACUUAAAACACCUCCUGUACUUUCCUUUCCCUGAAAGUAUCUUGGUAUAAGAGAUGGCAACCUAUAUAAAUCCAAUUCUCUAGUAACAAGGUAGAAAUUGCACUUAGAAAAAACUAGCUCAUUCUGCUUAAAUAUAGCGAUUUCUAGGGAUUGAGUAAUGUGGACAUGGGUAUAUUUCUGGACUGUCUCCAUUCCAAGACUUCUGUGGGUUCCUGAGAAGAAGCUGAUGUUCUAAUCUGUCUAAAUUACCUAACGCUGGUGUGAGGAUGGUCGAGUCAAAAGAGCUGCUAAAAACAACAUCAACAACAGCCAUUUCUUCCAGAAAACUCAAAGAAACCUUAUGGAUAUAUACUCAAUAGGCAUCAGGACAUUUGUAAGAAAAGAGCCAAUGUAGGCAAAACUGAAUAAAAUAAGAUGUCAAUCCCUGUGACUCCCACGUACCUAUUAUCUAGUCAUUCAUUUGUUUAAUUCUUCCUAUUCAGCCUAUAAGUGUUUCUAAGCACUUAUUUCACUGGCGAUCAACAGUAACCAAUAAAAUUCACUCAUGAAUCAACAG